rnacentral:rRNA from 1 species
AGCGAACGCUGGCGGCAGGCUUAACACAUGCAAGUCGAGCGGGCACUUCGGUGUCAGCGGCAGACGGGUGAGUAACACGUGGGAACGUACCCUUCGGUUCGGAAUAACGCUGGGAAACUAGCGCUAAUACCGGAUACGCCCUUUUGGGGAAAGGUUUACUGCCGAAGGAUCGGCCCGCGUCUGAUUAGCUAGUUGGUGGGGUAAUGGCCUACCAAGGCGACGAUCAGUAGCUGGUCUGAGAGGAUGAUCAGCCACACUGGGACUGAGACACGGCCCAGACUCCUACGGGAAGCAGCAGUGGGGAAUAGUGGACAAUGGGCGCAAGCCUGAUCCAGCCAUGCCGCGUGAGUGAUGAAGGCCUUAGGGUUGUAAAGCUCUUUUGUCCGGGACGAUAAUGACGGUACCGGAAGAAUAAGCCCCGGCUAACUUCGUG